AGGGCACCACCAGGAGUGGAGCCUGCGGCUUAAUUUGACUCAACACGGGAAAGCUCACCCGGCCCGGACACCGUAAGGAUUGACAGAUUGAGAGCUCUUUCUUGAUUCGGUGGUUGGUGGUGCAUGGCCGUUCUUAGUUGGUGGAGCGAUUUGUCUGGUUUAUUCCGAUAACGAACGAGACUCUGGCCUACUAAAUAGUGACAGGAUUAUUACUGUCUUGGAUACUUCCUAGAGGGACAAGUGGUUUUCAGCCACACGAAAUUGAGCAAUAACAGGUCUGUGAUGCCCUUAGAUGUCCGGGGCUGCACGCGCGCUACACUGAAGGAAUCAGCGUGCUAAAACCAUUGUCGAAAGGCAUUGGUAAACCCAUUAAAAUCCUACGUGAUUGGGAUCGGGAAUUGCAAUUAUUUCCCUUGAACGAGGAAUUCCCAGUAAGUGUGGGUCAUAAGCUCGCGUUGAUUACGUCCCUGCCCUUUGUACACACCGCCCGUCGCUGCCCGGGACUGAGCCGUUUCGAGA
rnacentral:rRNA from 1 species